rnacentral:rRNA from 1 species
GACGAACGCUGGCGGCGUGCUUAACACAUGCAAGUCGAACGGUGAAGCGCCUUCCUUUUUGGUGGGUGUGGAUGAGUGGCGAACGGGUGAGUAACACGUGAGUAACCUGCCCCCUUCUUCUGGAUAACCGCAUGAAAGUGUGGCUAAUACGGGAUAUUCUGUGUCUGUCGCAUGAUGGGUCUGGGAAAGAUAUUGUUUCGGUGGGGGAUGGGCUCGCGGCCUAUCAGCUUGUUGGUGGGGUGAUGGCCUACCAAGGCGGUGACGGGUAGCCGGCCUGAGAGGGUGGACGGUCACACUGGGACUGAGACACGGCCCAGACUCCUACGGGAGGCAGCAGGGGGGAAUAUUGCACAAUGGGCGCAAGCCUGAUGCAGCGACGCCGCGUGAGGGAUGGAGGCCUUCGGGUUGUGAACCUCUUUCGCCAGUGAAGCAGGCCUGCCUCGUUUGUGGGUGGGUUGACGGUAGCUGGAUAAGAAGCGCCGGCUAACUACGUG